AACGAACGCUGGCGGCAGGCCUAACACAUGCAAGUCGAGCGAGGACUUCGGUUCUAGCGGCGGGCGGGUGAGUAACGCGUGGGAAUGUGCCCUUCUCUACGGAAUAGCCCUGGGAAACUGGGAGUAAUACCGUAUACGCCCUAUUGGGGAAAGAUUUAUCGGAGAAGGAUCAGCCCGCGUUGGAUUAGGUAGUUGGUGGGGUAAUGGCCUACCAAGCCGACGAUCCAUAGCUGGUUUGAGAGGAUGAGCAGCCACACUGGGACUGGGACACGGCCCAGACUCCUACGGGAGGCAGCAGUGGGGAAUCUUAGACAAUGGGGGCAACCCUGAUCUAGCCAUGCCGCGUGAGUGAUGAAGGCCUUAGGGUUGUAAAGCUCUUUCAGCUGGGAAGAUAAUGACGGUACCAGCAGAAGAAGCCCCGGCUAACUCCGUG
rnacentral:rRNA from 1 species